UACAGAGGGUGCUAGCGUUAAUCGGAAUUACUGGGCGUAAAGGAUGUGUAGGUGGUUCAAGUAAGUCAGAUGUAAAAACCCCGGGCUUAACCUGGGAAUGUCGUUUGAUACUGCUUAGCUAGAGUACUAUAGAGGACAGUGGAAUUUCCAGUGUAGCGGUGAAAUGCGUAGAUAUUGGAAGGAACACCAGUGGCGAAGGCGACUGUCUGGAUAGAAACUGACACUGAGACACGAAAGCAUGGGUAGCAAACAGG
rnacentral:rRNA from 1 species